rnacentral:tRNA from 1 species
GGCCAGCAGCUCAAUGGUAGAGCGUCAGUUUGGCACACUGACGGUCCCAGGUCCAAUCUCCACCUGACCAGAGAGCCA